GCAUAAUGUAGUUCACCUCCUUGGUAAUGAGACAUCGAUAGCAGCGCAAUUUUUUCACACGGUGAAUGGCUUUUUAUUUUAUGCAAGAAGUUUGCGCAGAAUAGUAAAGUUUAUGAUAUCGUUUUAAAAAUAAAACACCGUCCCGCAGGGUUGAAUUUUUCAGAAGUGUAUUUUUUGUCCUUCGUUUUUUCCGAUUUAUUUAUUGACAACAGACAAUAAUCCCGCGUGCUUCUUUUAUUCAUGUGUGUGUGCUGGUGACCGGUUACCAUGGAGAAGCAGGCGGUGCAGAGGGCCAGGGAGGCUUUCCUCGCUGGGAGGCCGCGGCCCCUGGAGUUCAGAGUUCAGCAGCUCAAGUCUCUCCAGAGGAUGAUCACAGACAGACAGGGAGAGAUCGCCACCGCCCUCAAACAGGACAUCAACAGGAGCCAGUAUGACACCCCACUGUUUGAGUUGAUCGGCCUGGAGAAUGAGAUCAGCCUGGCUGUGUCGAAGCUGGCCCAGUGGGCUGCUCCUCGGCCUGUAGAGAGGAACCUCCUCACCAUCUCAGACCAGGCGUACAUCCAGCCGGAGCCCCUGGGAGUGGUCCUCAUUAUCGGGGCCUGGAACUACCCCUGGGCCCUAACCCUGCAGCCCCUGGUCGGGGCUAUCGCUGCAGGCAAUGCAGCUGUGGUGAAGCCGUCUGAGCUGAGUGAAUACUCAGCUAGUCUCCUCAAAGCUCUGCUCCCACGAUAUCUGGACCAGGAGCUGUACCCUGUAGUGUGUGGGGGCGUGUCAGAGACUCAGGAGUUGCUGCGUCAGCGUUUCGACCACGUCUUCUACACAGGGAACAGCACUGUGGGUAAACUGGUGAUGGAGGCAGCAGCCCGACACCUCACCCCCGUGACCCUGGAGCUGGGAGGGAAGAGCCCCUGUUACAUCGAUAAGGACGUCGACCUCAGAGUCGCAUGCCGGCGUAUCACGUGGGGGAAGUUUGUAAACUGUGGUCAGACGUGCAUCGCCCCAGACUACAUCCUGUGUGAACCCAGCAUCCAGAACAGAGUGGUGGAGGGCAUCCGGCAGACACUACUGGAGUUUUAUGGGCCUGACCCCAAAUCCUCCCCUGACUACAGCCGCAUCAUCAACCAGCGCCACUUCAACCGCUUGAUGACUCUACUGGAGGGCUACACGGCAACAGUAGGGGGGCAGAGUGACUCAUCACAGCGCUACAUUGCCCCCACGGUGGUGAAGGACGUGCCCCCCCAGGCUAGGCUGAUGCAGGAGGAGAUCUUCGGGCCCCUGUUGCCCAUAGUGACCGUCAGCGACAUAGAUGACGCCAUCCACUUCAUCAACGAGAGAGAGAAGCCCCUGGCGCUCUACGUCUUCUCCUCCAACAAGAAGGUGAUAAGGCGAAUGCUGGCUGAGACUACCAGUGGCGGGGUGACAGUCAACGACGUUAUUAUGCACUACACCCUCAACUCUCUGCCCUUUGGGGGUGUAGGUCAGAGUGGAACAGGAAGGUAUCAUGGAAAGCACACCUUUGACCAGUUCAGCCAUCAUCGGGCGUGUCUGGUCAAGUCCCUGGGCAUGGAGGAUGUCAACAUGGUGCGGUACCCACCCCAGAACCGCCAGAAGGCUCGCAGGGUCAGGCUGGCCAUGAGGACCCCACUGGUCGACUUCUCUAGGAAAACCUACAUCUGGGCCGUGACGGCCACCGUCUUUGCUUUCGGUCUCUUUGUCACCUUGACUGCCAUCCUGUUAAUUGCUGGUGGCUUGAACUGCACCUGUUGGAGACUUUGGCAAAUCUGGCGCUAGCUAGUCUUUACCUGUAUUGGCCGACGUACGAAAGACAUGUCCCUGUGUCUGGUUCCCCUGGCUUUGAAUAAUGUCUAAUGUCUUUGUGUGUCCGACACUGUAACUAAACUCACAACCCUGGUGGUGUAAGCCCCUGACUGUUGUUAGCGGUGUCAGCUUGCCAUCACCGAUCCUCUGUAAUGACGCCGAGCCACUGAUUUUGCCCAUGGCGGGCUGCUGUUUGCUUGCUAGAUGUGUUUUUUUUCUGAUCUUCCAUUUUAAUCUAUAAUUUCAUUCUAAUCUAAUUCUAUGAUUUAUCUUUGUUUGUUUAAAGAUUGUCAAAGAACUGAAAAAUUAGAUCUGUCUUUUAUUGGAAAGGGGAUGCCUAGUCAGUUGCACAACUGAAUCAACCAAAAUGUGUCUUCCUCAUUUAACCCCCAACCCCUCUGAAUCAGAGACCUGACUGCUUUCACAUAUAUGCUAACAAUAAUAGAAAAGGUGGAAUGGAAAGCGACACAGUAGCCAACAUAGGGAAUCCUUGAAUUUGGACUAUGGUUGAAAAAUUCCAGCAACUUUCCCAAAUGUUCCAGGUUUGCCUGAAAUCCUGGUUGGAAGAUUCCUGGAUUUCCUGUUUAGUCCCUCCUGAUUCCGGGAAUCUUCCAACAGGGAUUUCUGGUAAACCUGGGAAACUUGAACAUCAUAAUGUCUAACAUCUCUAACCCCAUUCCACAGGUCAGAGUGGAACAGGAAGGUAUCAUGGGAAGCACACCUUUGACCAGUUCAGCCAUCAUCGGGCGUGUCUGGUCAAGUCCCUGGGCAUGGAGGAGGUCCACAUGGCGGGGUAAGAAGGAUUUUUAAGCCUUGAGAUAAUUGAGACAUGGAUUGUGUAUGUGUGCCAUUCAGAGGGUGAAUGGACAAGACAAAAGAUGUAAGUGUCUUUGAACAGAGAAUGGUAGUAGAUGCCAGG